rnacentral:rRNA from 1 species
AGUGAACGCUGGCGGUAGGCCUAACACAUGCAAGUCGAACGGCAGCACAGUAAGAGCUUGCUCUUACGGGUGGCGAGUGGCGGACGGGUGAGGAAUACAUCGGAAUCUACUUUUUCGUGGGGGAUAACGUAGGGAAACUUACGCUAAUACCGCAUACGACCUACGGGUGAAAGCAGGGGAUCUUCGGACCUUUCGCGAUUGAAUGAGCCGCUGUGGGAUUGGCUGGUUGGCGGGGUAAAGGCCCACCAAGGCGACGAUCCGUAGCUGGUGGGAGAGGAUGGUCGGCCGCACUGGAACUGAGCCACGGUCAUGACUCCUGCGGGAGGCAGCAGACGCGAAUAUUGGACAGUGGGCGCGAGCCUGGUCCAGCGAUCCCGCGUGGGUGAAGGAGGCCUUCGGGUUGUAAAGCCCUUUUGUUGGGAGUGAAAAGCAGCAGGUUAAUACCCCGCUGUUCUGACGGUACCCAAAGAAUAAGCACCGGCUAACUUCGUG